AGUCAAGGUCCCGGACCACAUUCCCCCAACACAGCUAGAGGAGUGGUUUCUCAUCCUUUAGAUCCUUGGGGAUUUGUAAAUCUCCCGUGGACCAGGCUGCAUCCCACAUCAGCAGAGAAGUGCUGAGACCGGACCCAGCCAUCAGUAGUUGUAAACUCUCCAGGUGCUUCCAAUGAACAUCCAGGCUGAGAACAAUUAAAACAGAUCAUCUGAUGUUAAUCACAAUUAAAAUGUGGUGAUGCCACAUGAUGACUUCGGAUCCCUCCAUUUCCUCUGAGGUACUGGUAACAGCGGUGGACUCUAAGCGUGAGAGGACGUAUACCCAGGUUUGGGGCCAGCUUUUGGAAGGAAGAACAAUUUUGGAUAACAGGCUCAGCCAUCAGAAAGUGUUUCUGCAGCAAAAAGAAUAUCAUCCAUGUAAUGGAUAAUCAACACCUGUGGGACCUGAAUACGUAAUUGGGAAAGUGGCUGAUUAACAAAAUGCUGACACAUAGUAGGGCUAUUAAGCAUACCUUGCAGAAGCCCUUUCCAUGGAUGGCAUCACACAGGAACCAUAUGAUUGUCUGAAGGUACAGAACAGGCAAAUUUUUCUCUAUCAUCUGGCAGUAGAAGAACUGUGAAAAACAAUCUUUUAAAUCGACUAUAAUUAAUGACCAGUUCUGAGGAAUCCUAGUAGGAGACGGGAGCCCAGGUUGCAAAGCAAAGGUCCCAUAGACCGUAUAACCUCGUUUACCUUCCUUAAGUCAGUCAACAUUCUCCAUUUCCCAGAUUUUUUCCUUAUCACACACACAAGAAUUCCAUGGACUGGUGGGCAUUUCUACAUGACCUGCAUCCAAUUGUUCUUGCACUAAUUGUUCUAGAGCCUCUAAUUUCUGUUUGGGAAGGGGCCACGGUUCCACCCACACCAGGGCAGUUGUUAACCAUUCUAAUGCUAAGGCAUAACGUUGUUCAGGAACAGUGGCUCUUACACUAAACCUGAAUUCUGUACAGGCUAUCCCAGUCCCACACAAGGUGGCCACAUUUCGGCAGUAAUUGUUCCCAUAAGCCCAUUUUCUUGUCGUCCAAGCCCUUUUAAUGGAUUAUAACUCACUUUGGACACCAUAUUGGUUGCAGCAGGGGAAACAUAAGGAAUAUUAAUACAUGCUCCCCAUUGACUUAGGAGGUCUCUUCCCCAUGGAUUAAUGGCUGUAUCAGUAACAUAAGUCUGGAUAGUAGCAGCCUGGCCUUCAGGCCCUUCACAUAGAAAAGUUUCAACACUCUGUUGGAUGUCAGUAGCUUUUCCUUCACCUGUAAAGACUGUGGAUAUAGGUCGGAGUGGCCAAUUCUUAGGGCAAAACUUAGAAGCAAUGAUGGUGACAUCAUCAGCUCCUGAGUCUACCAGGCCAGUAGAUGAUGUUCCAUUCAUUUGUAAGGUCAUCUCAGGCCUUUGUCCUUUAGAAAUGUUUGCCAAGAUAUCUGUUUGCCCGUAGAUCCAAACCCUCCCUGCCAGUCUAUUGGCGUGGAGAUUAAAGCAAUGUAAGGCAACAAUGGUAGUUGGGCAAUGCGACCUCCUGCCAAGACAUGAUAAGGAACUGAAGUACUAAUCAUUACUAAAACUUCAUCCUUAAAAUCAGCUCCUAUAAUUCCUAAGUAGACAUGAACUCCCUUGGACAUAAGACUACUUCGUCCAAUAAGAAGGCCAAUGGACCCUGAAGAGGCCCGUAAAUCCCAGUUUUAACCUUGUAAAUUCCCAUGGAGGGUUUGAGGACCAGAGACUCUGGGGCAGGAAUAUCUAAUGCAGCACUCCCUCAUGUGGCAUGGAGAAGGUCAUGGACAGAUUUGCAUGAAAUCCUGAAGGAUGAGCUUCGCCGGCUCCAAAGUUUCCUUCGGUUCCCUGGGCCCUUCUUCAGUGGUGCUGCACACGUCCCCCUUCAGGUUCCCUGUUCAGGCACCAGCUGAAGAGAGGUCCUAAAGGCCUGGCACCCGUAUGAUGUCCUUCUGGAGGGAGCGAGCAGUCCCGGCAGCUUUCUGUCCUGGAGAUGAAACUGUUUUCGCUUCCUUGCUGCUCUGUCCCUCUCCUUCAGGACAUUCUUAUGGUGCCUCCGGCUUCUUGUUCUCCGACCUACUUGGACACCAGCCACCAGGAUACCUCCCAUGCCCUCCUCCGUGUACCUGCUGGAGCCUGGGAUGCAUGUUGGAGCCCAGCUCAGGCCUCUCUCUGCAGCUGCUGAGUGCAUGGCACCUACCUAGAUCCCUGCAGCUAUGACACCUACCUAGAUCCCUGCAGCUAUGACACCUACCUAGAUCCCUGCAGCUGACCCCCCAACACACAGGUGCUAGCUCCAGCCGUGCCCUUCGUGCUGCUGGCCUGACGCUUGUUCCAGGCCUCUACUGCUAUUUGCAUGCCCCUGGUGAUAGCCUGUAGCCACCCAAGUGCAGGCCACAGCCAGACCCCUAUAGCUGCUCGUGACCCAGAUUCAGCCCUAUCUCCAGUCACUAGCUUGCACCACUGUGCUCACCUAUAACUAGCCCCUCCAGCUGUGUACCUGCACCCCGCUAGCCUGACUCCUACUACCCACAUCCACUGCUGUGUACCAGACAGCCAGGACCCCCUUAGCUACUUGUGGGCUCAGCUUUGUCCCUGUCUCUUGUCACUGACCUGUACCCCUGUGCUUAUGUGCAGCUGGCCUUUCCAGCUAUUCACCUGCACGCCCCCAGCCCAGCUGUUUUCACUGCCUCCAGUGCCCUGUAUACACCCCUGGAAAGACCCCCUACAGCCUCAAGAGUGUAUGCUGACAGCCAGAACUCCUACAGCUACCAGUGCACCUGAGGCUGGCCAGACUUCCAUCACUGCAUGGGUGUCUGCAACCACUCCUGGGCACUACACAGGCCUGUGCAGCUGGACCCUCCUGCGGAGCAUGUGCAUGCCCCGGACCCUGCCACCACUGCUCCCUGACCCAAGCUGCUGGACCAGGAGGGGCCAUUGAGGUCCUCUACAGCCCUUACAGCCACUGUGAACCCCCCUGCAGUACUUUCCAAGGGCCACACAGCUAUUGAUGGUGUGGAUCUCAGCAGCUUGAGCUGACGAGACAUCAUGUGCCUGCCUCACGCCCCCGACCCCUGAUCCAAAGCUAGCACAUGCUCCUGCUUGAAGGUCUUCCCCCUUUACUGCAGUUUGUCCAUCAAGUCUAGAAGAGGUUAUUGCUCAUUCAAAUGCGCAGACACUGAUGCAAGGCUAUAGGGAUCAAAAAGAAUGAGCGAAACAUGCCCCCACCAAAGGAACACAGGAAACUUCUAAUAACUGACCCCAAAGAAAUGGAGAUACGUACAUUUCCUUAAGAAGAAUUCAAAGUAAUUGUUUGAAAGAUACUCAGAAAUGAUGGUUACCAGAGGGGAGGUGGCUGGGGUGAAAUGGGUGAGGGGGAUUAAGG